rnacentral:rRNA from 1 species
CCUACGGGUGGCAGCAGUGAGGAAUAUUGGUCAAUGGACGCGAGUCUGAACCAGCCAAGUAGCGUGAAGGAUGACUGCCCUCUGGGUUGUAAACUUCUUUUAUAUGGGAAUAAAACAGGGCAUGCAUACCUCCUUGUAUAUACAAUAUGAGUAAGGAUAGGGUAACUCUGUGCCAGCGGCCGCGGUAAUACGGAGGAUCCGAGCGUUAUCCGGAUUUAUUGGGUGUAAAGGGGGCGUAGGUGGAUUUUUAAGUCAGUUGUGAAAGUUAGCGGCUCAACCGUAAAAUUGCAGUUGAAACUGGCAGUCUUGAGUACAGUAGAGGUGGGCGGAAUUCGUGGUGUAGCGGUGAAAUGCUUAGAUAUCACGAAGAACUCCGAUUGCGAAGGCAGCUCACUGGACUGCAACUGACACUGAUGCUCGAAAGUGUGGGUAUCAAACAGGAUUAGAUACCCCAGUAGUC